AGGAUCUAAUGAGAAUAAACAGUAGAUGCAUGAGUUUUUUUGAUGACAUUCCUAUAGAGAAGUGGACUCAAGCACAUGACGGAGGAUUUCGAUACGGGUGGAUGACAACAAAUCUAUCAGAGUGCAUGAAUGGAGUUUUCAAAGGAGCUCGAAUGUUGCCGAUAAAUGCUAUAGCUCAAAGUACAUUCUUCAAAUGUGUGAGUUACUUUGAAAAAAGGAGAGAGGAAAUAAAAGUUGCAUUGGAACGUGGAGAUAAAUAUACCGGGUACGCACUUCAGAAAAUAUUGAAAUGGUCUGUAAGAUCCAGUAAGCAUGAAGUACAAUCCUAUGAUCGAUCUGAAGGCAUAUUUCAUGUAAAAACUGGACGUCACGAAUUAAAUUCUAAAGGAGGAAAUAUCCAAAUAUUGAGAUUAAGUGCUUCUGAGCGGUACUGUUCGUGUAACAAGUGGCAAGCCUUUGGUAUUCCAUGCUCGCAUUUUAUGGCGGUUUGUUCACGGUUUAACAUGAACUAUGAAGACUUUAUUGAGGACUAUUAUAAAAUAUCAACUUAAGCUGCAUGCUAUGCGCCUCAGUUUCAACCUGUACCGCAUGAAGAUUAUUGGAUAACACCUACAAGUAUGCCUGUCUUACUGCCAGAUCCAUCGUUGUUGAGAAAAUCAGGUAGACCAAAGACUUCACGUUAUCACAACGAGAUGGAUUGGACAGAACAAAGUGCUCAACAACGAUGCUCAUUCUGUAGCCAACUUGGUCAUAACCGACGGAGCUGUACUUUGUUAAGGAGACAGGCACCUGAUAGUUAGACAUCUUUCUUUAAUGACAUUGAUUUGUAUUUUUUUUUGUGUAGAUAAUGGCAUUAAAUCGAGGACCAAUUGAUCCGGACGUUUUAUAUGAUCAGAACAUUCACCGAUCAGAAACUGUGUGGGAUGAUCGUAAUACGCCCGAGAUAAACUGUAGACGACGUGAGGCAGUUGUCCAACGUACUAUCCCACUACACCGCAACAUACUUCCACUGUUACGUGCUUCAGGAUUUUAUGGGCUUGCCAGAUUGGGGUUCAUCCAGUUAGACUGGCAUCUGAUCACUGCACUUUUGGAGAGAUGGAGACCAGAGACACAUACAUUUCACAUGCCAAUUGGAGAGUGCACAAUUACGUUACAGGAUGUGGAAGUUUUGGUGGGAUUACCGACUGAUGGCGAGCCUGUUAUCGAUCAGAUGCAUGAUGAUUGGUUGCAUGUUUGCCAAGAGUUACUUGUGUGAUCCCACCUCCUGAACAAAUUAGGGGGCAGAGAUUGAGUUUAACAUGGUUGGGGGCAGAGUUUCAUGAAUUGGCUAACGAUGCCGAUGAGGAAACUAUCACACGUUAUGCACGGGCAUAUAUUUUACAGUUGAUGGGUGGGAGUAUUUUUGCCGAUAAAUCAACUCGUUAUGUGCACCUAAUGUUUCUACCAUUCUUAGCUAAUCUGCACCACACGGGGCGAUAUUCUUGGGGUGGAGCCUGUUUGGCAUGGUUGUAUAGACAAUUAUGCAAGGCAUCCAAACAAGGUGUUCGUGAAAUAGCUGGGCCACUAAUAUUGUUACAAAUAUGGGCUUGGGAACGAUUCCCAAUAGUGGCUCCUCAACUCCUACAUGUCAAUGCUAAUCAAUUACACAGUCGAGCUUAUGGUUCAAGAUGGAGAGAUCAAUUUUGUGUGACAAGAUCGGC